ACCAAGUCUUGUAAGAGCUCAUGAUGUUAUGAGAUAGUGUGUAAAAAUUCUAAUAAUCCAAAUUCACUAACAUUUACAUGUGCCAGGCUCAUCAUCAUGAUUAGCCGGCACAAGUGCAAGUAUUGCAAUUAUCAGAUGGGCUUGAGAGUCGAGAACACGAGAACUUUCGACUUCUAUAGUAUCACGUUAACAGACAUUCUCAUUCAAAACUACGUUAUUACAAAGGGUGUAAUGUAAGUGUUUGUCCUUAAUGAUGAUAAAAAAGGUGUGUCCUUAACAUCUCAAUGAAACAAAAGUGGAUAUGUUUGGCAUGGCUUCAUUAGUUUAAAUCAGUUUUUUGCUUUUUGGAGAGUCCAAAUUUCCAAAAUUCAAAUUCUUGGUGCUUGGCUUCAUUAGUUUAAAUCAGUGUCAAGAAGAAAAGCAGAA